UAGGGAAUCUUCGGCAAUGGACGAAAGUCUGACCGAGCAACGCCGCGUGAGUGAAGAAGGUUUUCGGAUCGUAAAACUCUGUUGUUAGAGAAGAACAAGGACGUUAGUAACUGAACGUCCCCUGACGGUAUCUAACCAGAAAGCCACGGCUAACUCCGUGCCAGCAGCCGCGGUAAUACGGAGGGUGCAAGCGUUAAUCGGAAUUACUGGGCGUAAAGCGCACGCAGGCGGUCUGUCAAGUCGGAUGUGAAAUCCCCGGGCUCAACCUGGGAACUGCAUUCGAAACUGGCAGGCUAGAGUCUUGUAGAGGGGGGUAGAAUUCCAGGUGUAGCGGUGAAAUGCGUAGAGAUCUGGAGGAAUACCGGUGGCGAAGGCGGCCCCCUGGACAAAGACUGACGCUCAGGUGCGAAAGCGUGGGGAGCAAACAGG
rnacentral:rRNA from 1 species